CCCUUAGAUGGUCUGGGCGGCACGCGCGCUACACUGAUGCAUUCAACGAGCCUAUCCUUGACCGACAGGUCCGGGUAAUCUUUGAAUCUGCAUCGUGACGGGGAUAGAUUAUUGCAAUUAUUAAUCUUCAACGAGGAAUGCCUAGUAGGCGCAAGUCAUCAGCUUGCGUCGAUUACGUCCCUGCCCUUUGUACACACCGCCCGUCGCUCCUACCGAUUGGGUGUGCUGGUGAAAUGUUCGGAUCGGCCGUUUGUCGCGGUUUCCGCGUCAUGUGGCUGAGAAGUUCAUUAAACCCUCCCACCUAGAGGAAGGAGAAGUCGUAACA
rnacentral:rRNA from 1 species